ACUCCUACGGGAGGCAGCAGUCGAGAAUCUUUCACAAUGGGGGAAACCCUGAUGGAGCGACGCCGCGUGGAGGAUAAGGUCUUCGGAUUGUAAACUCCUGUCAUGCGUGAACAAGGCAGCCGGGUUAAUAACCUGUGCUGAUUGGUGGUAACGCAAGAGGAAGAGACGGCUAACUCUGUGCCAGCAGCCGCGGUAA
rnacentral:rRNA from 1 species